GACGAACGCUGGCGGCGUGCUUAACACAUGCAAGUCGAACGGAAAGGCCCUGCUUUUGUUGGGUUCUCGAGUGGCGAACGGGUGAGUAACACGUGAGUAACCUGCCCUUGACUUUGGGAUAACUUCAGGAAACUGGGGCUCAUACCGGAUAUGAGCUCCUGCUGCAUGGUGGGGGUUGGUAAGUUUCGGCGGUUGGGGAUGGACUCGCGGCUUAUCAGCUUGUUGGUGGGGUAGUGGCUUACCAAGGCUUUGAGGGGUAGCCGGCCUGAGAGGGUGACCGGCCACAUGGGGACUGAGAUACGGACCAGACUCAUACGGGAGGCAGCAGGGGGGAAUAUGGCACAAUGGGCGGAAGCCUGAUGCAGCAACGCCGCGUGCGGGAUGACGGCCUUCGGGGUGUAAACCGCUUUCGCCUGUGACGAAGCGUGAGUGACGGUAAUGGGUAAAGAAGCACCGGCUAACUACGUG
rnacentral:rRNA from 1 species